rnacentral:rRNA from 1 species
UACGUAGGUGGCAAGCGUUGUCCGGAAUUAUUGGGCGUAAAGCGCGCGCAGGCGGUCCUUUAAGUCUGAUGUGAAAGCCCACGGCUCAACCGUGGAGGGUCAUUGGAAACUGGGGGACUUGAGUGCAGAAGAGGAAAGCGGRAUUCCACGUGUAGCGGUGAAAUGCGUAGAGAUGUGGAGGAACACCAGUGGCGAAGGCGGCUUUCUGGUCUGUAACUGACGCUGAGGCGCGAAAGCGUGGGGAGCRAACAGGAUUAGAUACCCUGGUAGUCCACGCCGUAAACGAUGAGUGCUAAGUGUUAGAGGGUUUCCGCCCUUUAGUGCUGCAGCUAACGCAUUAAGCACUCCGCCUGGGGAGUACGGCCGCAAGGCUGAAACUCAAAG